UACGUAGGGGGCUAGCGUUGUCCGGAUUUACUGGGCGUAAAGGGCGCGUAGGCGGCCACUGCAAGUCGGUUGUGAAAUCUCCGGGCUUAACCCGGAAAGGUCAAUCGAUACUGCAGGGCUAGAGUGCGGAAGGGGCAACUGGAAUUCUCGGUGUAGCGGUGAAAUGCGUAGAUAUCGAGAGGAACACCUGCGGCGAAGGCGGGUUGCUGGGCCGGACACUGACGCUGACAGCGCGAAAGCUAGGGGAGCGAACGGG
rnacentral:rRNA from 1 species